UACGGAGGGUGCGAGCGUUGUCCGGAAUCACUGGGCGUAAAGGGCGCGUAGGCGGCAGGCCAAGCGUGCGGUGAAAGUCCGGGGCUCAACCCCGGAUCUGCCGUGCGGACUGGUUUGCUAGAGCACUGUAGAGGCGAGUGGAAUUCCGGGUGUAGCGGUGGAAUGCGUAGAGAUCCGGAAGAACACCGGUGGCGAAGGCGGGUCUCUGGGCAGUAACUGACGCUGAGGAGCGAAAGCGUGGGGAGCGAACAGG
rnacentral:rRNA from 1 species